rnacentral:tRNA from 1 species
GCGGAUAUGGCGGAAUAGGCAGACGCGCCAGCUUCAGGUGCUGGUCGAGGCAACUCGGUGCAGGUUCAACUCCUGUUAUCCGCA